UAGCUGGAAGAGGAAAGAAAACAGACAGCUCAGAAACCAGACAGCUAACGCUGGAAACCCAAUCCUCCCAGCAGCCUUGCUUCUGCUGCCCCUGCCCCUCGCUGGCUGGCUCAGAGCUGAUUAGAUGCUUCCUAGAUCCGUUAACAAGGGGAGCUGCAGCCAAAAAUCCCUGAGGCAUGGAAGAUUCUCUUGGCCUCCUUCCUCAUCUACCUUCAGGGGCUACUGGGAAGAGAGAUGUGGGCCUUCGUGCAGAAACUCUUGCAUUAAGCAGUUCAGUGAGUCUGUCUUUUUAAAACGGCCAUGACCUGUAAAACAGCCAGUUCUGCGGGGGAGGGCAGGCCAGGUGUUCGGAGCACACACACAAGGCUGGUCUCUGCUGCCCAUGACCCCCGGGGCACAUCUGACUUCCAGCUUCCUUGUGACUCUGAAGCCCAUUGUUUCUCAGUGUGGGCAAAACUGACGAAUAUAGGUUUCCCCCUUUAACUAGCUGAGCUGUUGGUACGGGGAACAGAGUGGGAGCCUGAAGCUCACAGAGAACUUUCUGGGGGCCUGGCGUAUUUGGGGGAAAAUAGUUAAGGAACACCUAACCUGGUUUUAGUUAGUGGCCUUCAGGAAAAGAAGGUGUGUGUGUGUGUGUGUGUGUGUGUGUGUGUGUGUGUUGGGAGGAAAGUUCUGUUCUGCUCUUUUUGUUUUUUACAAACACCUUCCCCAGUGAUUGGUGGCUCUUAAUGCUAAUGAGGAUGAUAAACCGGAAGAGAAACUGCAGGUACUUGAAUAUGAUUAAUUUCUAUUUUUUAGAGGGAGGCUGGGUAGAAUCUCAUUUAAUCACUGUAUAAAACAAGA